rnacentral:lncRNA from 1 species
UUUUCAUGAGCAAGGUGCUGCAGGAUCUACUCUUGUCACACUGUGCCCCUCAGCACAGGGGCAAGGCUGUCCCAGAGACAGCCACUUGCCCUUCAUCAGUGGGACUGGACUAUGUGUAUGGGGUGGGUCCUUUGAACAGCAAGGAAGUAAGACUCACCUGCUCAGUCUGUAAAGGUUCUAAAGAGAGAGAUGCUCUUCCAGUGCCUUCCAUGCUGCUAGCCUGCUGGACAGCUGUCUUGGCACCGUCUUGGGAAAUGACACAUACUGCAGAGGAUGGAUGGGAGUCAGAUUUUCCCUGGAGGCGUGGUAGACGUCCUACAGCUGAGCUUGCCUGGUUCCAUUACUUAGUUCUCAGCGUCCUAUCAAAGACAAUGUCAUUAACAUAGUCCUUAGGGAACAAUACUGACCAAGGUCAUGCCACAAAACUUUGAAGACACUCUUGAAGAAGAAAAUAACCUUCCAUGUACAAUCUGGUUAGGAAUAAACUACAGAACUAAUCUUCCUUUUUGAGUUUUAUAAAAUAAAAUGUUAAACAAUCUGAAGAGAACUUUUCUACCUUUGUCUAACCCACAUUCUUGUCUUUAUUGAUUGAUGUAUUAAUUACAGGAGUUGAGUAAGUUACAUUAUAUGAAAAAAAAAUGAAAAAUAGGACCAACUUCACAUAUAAACUGGGAACCAGGACAUCAAAACUCUCUCCAGUUUAGGGACUUCCCUCUUGUUUUUCCUAUAUUUUUAUCCUGAAUAACCACUUAGUCUUCUCUUUUGCCAAGUCUCACACUGUACUCAGCUAGUAUACAUAGCAAAAGUUACUCAACCAAAAGAUUUUUAAAAAUUUCUUUUGUAAAAUGUCAGUUCAGACUCAAGUUAAAAUCUUUUAAUUCUGAUAUUUGAAAGAAAGGGAUUCAGGGGUAGUUAUGAAGGCAAGAUGAAAUUCAGUACUUGCCAAAUUACUCUCACCACUGCUGAGGGUAAAUAUUUGUAAAUUGAAGAAAGAAGAGAAUGCAAAUCCUAAUCCAA